rnacentral:rRNA from 1 species
UACAGAGGGUGCGAGCGUUGUUCGGAAUUAUUGGGCGUAAAGGGCGCGUAGGCGGUGCGGUAAGUCACCUGUGAAAUCUCCUGGCUCAACUGGGAGCUUGCAGGCGAAACUGCCGUGCUGGAGUGUGGGAGAGGUGCGUGGAAUUCCUGGUGUAGCGGUGAAAUGCGUAGAUAUCAGGAGGAACACCUGUGGCGAAAGCGGCGCACUGGACCACAACUGACGCUGGAGGCGCGAAAGCUAGGGGAGCAAACAG